rnacentral:rRNA from 1 species
AGCAGCCGCGGUAAUUCCAGCUCCAAUAGCGUAUAUUAAAGUUGUUGCAGUUAAAAAGCUCGUAGUUGAAUUUCGGGGUUAGCAGGUCGGUCGUGCCAUCGGUAUGAACUGGUCUCGCUGAUCCCUCCCUCUUGACGAACUGUGAUGCCAUUAAUUUGGUGUCGCAGGGAAUCAGGACUGUUACUUUGAAAAAAUUAGAGUGUUUAAAGCAGGCUCACGCUUGAAUACAUUAGCAUGGAAUAAUGAAAUAGGACGUUUGAUCCUAUUUUGUUGGUUUCUAGGAUUGACGUAAUGAUUAAUAGGGAUAGUUGGGGGCAUUAGUAUUCAAUUGUCAGAGGUGAAAUUCUUGGAUUUAUUGAAGACUAACUACUGCGAAAGCAUUUGCCAAGGAUGUUUUCAUUAAUCAAGAACGAAAGUUAGGGGAUCGAAGACGAUCAGAUACCGUCGUAG